UGAUCUUUCCCUGGCAUUCUCCUCUUUGUUCUGCAAUCCUUCUGAACAUGCACCACCUGUGAGCUCAUCGUCAAAAGACUAGCUGACAAAUCUGCAGGCUAGCUGAGUGCAAAGUGUUAAAUUACGCUGCGAGCAUGAGGAAACAGAGAGGUGUCGAUCUCACUGAGUAGGCGUCUUCAGAUACUGAGCAGCUCAAGCAGAGUACUGCUCAGCUGAGUGAGUCCUAGUUUCUGUAAAAAGUUUUUUUUCUUUUUUUCAGAGCAGACCUGGCUUAUCCCAAAGAAUGUAUGAGUGGGGGACUGGCUUACUAAUCUCAUUCGUACCAACGGGCUCAUCAAGAUUCACAAAGUAGGCACCCAGACCAGAAUGAGCACUAAUCUUGGACUACAAAGGAAGCCAGGCGGUCUUCUCCUACAGUUUUAGAAAGCAGCUCAAGCUGAAGGAGACAGCACCACUACGGCUAUGGAACAGAGAUGCACUGUGGUUGUACUGAGCAUUGCUUAGAAAUUGCGUCUAAUUCAAUGCUAAUGCCAGUGACUACAGUAGAACUGCAUGGCUUGUAUUAUAUGUUUAACAGUAUAAUUGCAUGGUCGAGGAUAUAUUUACAUAGUUUAAGCUGGAUUUGAGCUGUUGCUACAUACUAAAUAAAUGGAUAUAUGUGCUAAUGUAGAUAAUCUCAAGGAAAUGGUUGCUACUUUCUCACCUACUUUUUUUUCAAAUAAUAUUACAAACUUGUGUUUCUAAAAAGGAAUGAUGGUCCUCUGCUGUAGAAUCCAGCAGUGCUCUAAAAAAAUAGAUUACUUGUGAUUUUCCCUGGCACAAUUAUGCAGUGGCAUUUACACAGCUGGAUGGAGGUUAUGAGAAGAACAUAUUUGGUUGCUGAACUUUCCAACUAAAAAUCAAUUAAAAACCUUUAGUAUCUCCUUAUUGAAACCAUGUGUAGUUCUGCUGUGCAAUUUAUAUACAAUAUUAAGCAAGCUGUCUCCAAUGCAGUAAAUGUAUUUAACAAUGUUAGAUAGAAUGCUCCAUAGAAAUAAUAACUACACAUGAUUUUGAAGCUGGACAGGUGCAAUGAGUAUGAAAGCCUUGUCUCCUGUGAGUACAUGAAGCACUUAUGCAGGUACUAAAACAGCUUUAGCAUAAACAUGAGUUUACAUUAAAAUAAGAUUUUCAGGAACAAAAUUAUCUAAGCUGUUUUUACCUUUUUGCAUAUGCCAUAUGGCCAUUAGUUUGUUCCUCUACUUGUAUCACAAGGGUAUUUGAAAGCUGUAAGAUUUUCCGUAAACAGUCUUGGGAGAGGUAUUUACUUUUAUGCAAAUUGUGAAUGGAGUGAGAAAGAUUUUUAGAUGGUAAAGCUGAAAGAAAAGAAAACAUGCAUUAUUGAUGAUCAUCAUUCAUGUUACUACUAUAAAUGCUGAUGUUUUUUUGGUUUUUAACCUCACCAUCUUUUCAUAACUCGUGCAUGUAUCGAUGUCUAUUACAAUUUGUUUUUAAUCAUUCCAUAGCCUACAUGUAGAAUUAAUUUGCCGGCAUAUCAUUGUAAAUCAGCAGUUCUGCCCCUUAACACAUCUGGCCUGCAUUCAAACAGAUACCCUGCUCGUAUAAUGGAUAUGAAAGACUGUAAAUAAAAUGUUACAAAGUCUCUGCUGACCUCAAGGGUUUUUUAGCCAAGUAAUCUGAAUGAUGGGUUUAGCCCUAUGUGUUUUUGAUUUUCCUUUUAUUUUAUGUGAUUGUUUUCUAUUGCACACCUGGAUAAGAAUUUAGAAGAAGAAAAAAAACAAAACAAAGAAAACUUGCAUACCAAAACUGAAAAAUGCUACAUAUCAGUGCUGCCAUCCAAACGGUUUUAAAUUCUCAACAUUGUCUGUAACAAAUCCUAAGAACAUGUCAAAUUGAUGUAACAAAUUAUGGAGGCUUUAACUCGGAAAUGGCAAAGAGGAACUUCAAAUCCAGUUUAGUCUACAAAUAUUUCCCAAGAGCUACUUAAAGGAUCAAUAUCCUUAGAAUAAUUUGUUCUUCUUUACUUUACUACUUGACUGUAAUAAUGAUCCUGAUACUAUACUGACACAGUAAGCAUAAGCUUGGAUACUACACUGUUUAACAUUAGAUUACUUUUCCAAGCACCAUACUGUAUCAACUUCCCCCAAAACAGGAAAUAGCACUGAAAUGGGGAGAUUCCUAAGAAUUACAAGUCUAGACAAAAUCAUUUUCCACCUUCUAAAGACAUAUUUAUGGUUUUGGUUACUGGUCUUUGUAUCCAAGUAUCAUACUAAUUAUAUUAUUAUCUUUUAUAUUUAUAAUACAUGUUUAAUUAUACAUUUGACAACACUGUAUUAUUAAACCCUACAACAGAAAUUGUGAUUAUCUGCAAAGUACAUUUUACACAUGUUGUUAUAAAGUUGAUGAUUGAUUUAUUUGAAUCCAAAUUUGAAGUAAGUCUUGUUAGCGCAAAUGUGAUGAUCUGGUAAUAGUGGUUUUUGUUAUGUUUUUUCAUCACAGAGUAAUUUAACCUCAAACAGUUUGUGCCUAUUACAUCUGCAACCAGAGUAAUUUAACCUCAAACAGUUUGUGCCUGUUACAUCUGCAAAAAAUAUCCUCUUCGGGGUCAAACAAAGGAAGUCACAGCCAGAGAAGCCCCAGCGGCUAUGCAUUUGGGUGAUGUUCUUACAUUUAAUCUUACAUAUAUCGUGAGUAUUGGCCAGAGCUUGGAAUCCAGUUUGGAAUGGAGGGAAAAAAAAAAAGAUUAUCAAUUGAAAUUACUGUUCAUGGCAUCAUCUUGGUUUAAACUAAAAUAGGAGACCCUGCAAUUACUGUCACUGGAAAAUAAACAUCAUGGUAUCAAAUGUGAACCCUAUGUUAAACAAAAUGGAGCUUCUGUUGCAGUUAGGAAGUUCUAGACAAACAGAGCUCAAUACUGAUCUGAGCAAUUUCUGUUGAAGUUAAAUAAAAUGAUGCAAUGUUUUUACAUUCCACAUGCACUGGUACCCUUAUUAUAUUAGCAAUUAAUUUUUCUGCCAAAACGUUCAUCAUCACUUGUGUCUCUUCAACUGUUCACCGCAGUAUUAGUUUGUACCACCUGUUGUGAUGAAUGUCCCCAUGUCUGGGUCAGCAUAUGAAGCUCUCAGCCAAGCAUCAGAGAGCGGUAUGCAUACUUAGACCCAUUCAGAGAGGGUCCAAUCCAAUCAGCUGUCACUUCCUGGGCCACCAGGGUUUAGUAGCAAACGCGCUACCUCUGAUCCGUGGUCGUACAUGCCUUUAUACCACGUGACCAGGCAGUGAACACUGUACAUACCCCAGCUAUCAUCACACACUAUUUUUCACGUGCACCGUAAACACUUUCUGUAAUUCUACACAUGCUUCUGCAUGUUAUUUACGGUUUGAUUUCUGAAGUUCAGUUGUUGUGUUUUGUUAAUAUGAUACAACUUUUACCAACAGUAACUGUCGGCGUGCAACUGACUUUGAAAGUUUUCUGUUAGCAGACUUGAUAACAAAAGAAAUGUACAUUGCCGUGUUUGCUUUGACCAUUUAGAGCUAAAAGCAGUACAUUAUAAAAUAUUGAAAAUAGUAGUAAUAAUAAUAAUAAUAAUAAUAAUAAUAAUAAUAAUAAUAAUAAUAAUAAUAAUAAUAAUCACAUCUAGUUUCAGAGACUUGGGGUUGAUUAGAUAACACCAUACUUUAUUCAGACAUAGAUAACUUAACAUCAGUUGUCAUUUGGUUAAGAAAUACUUAAAUAACCCAUUGGAUUAAAUACCUUGUAUGAAAAGGUUGGAACACAUCUCAAAACACAUCAUCUUUAAAACUAAGAUAUUGAGAUAAUUCUUUGAGAACAUGUGUAGAAGAAAAACAAUUACCAAUUGUCAGUGCCUUGAUACCUACAGGGUAUUAUCCUUUUGAUUGUUUGUUUGUUUAUAUCCAUUAUUAUUUGUAAUAACUACUAUUGGUACAGUGCAAGGAAGCAAAAUACUGGCAUUGACAUUUUUUUUCCCUCCAUUCCAAACUGGAUUCCAAGCUCUGGCCAAUACUCACGAUAUAUGUAAGAUUAAAUGUAAGAACAUCACCCAAAUGCAUAGCCGCUGGGGCUUCUCUGGCUGUGACUUCCUUUGUUUGACCCCGAAGAGGAUAUUUUUUGCAGAUGUAACUUCAGAAACCAUCCCAUUCUUUAAACAACUCCUCACUCCCUGACCUUUUCCUGCAUAUCUGGGUGUGCUUGCUGGCUAACAGGGCUGGUUUUGUUGCUGUUCAGUGUUGUUACAGCUUGCUGCAUGUAAUGGGGAUACAUCCAUCUGGAUCAACCCAGCAGCACAUUUCUUUAUAAUAAUAAUUCACUGCUUACUGGAAGGACUGCUGAUUAAAUAAAGUGUGGAAUGAUUGAAUAUUGCUCCCGUUUUACUUUCUGGACUCAACAAACAGUGAACAACAACAAAAAAAAAGAAAAAAAAAUAUAUGGUUGGGUUAAGGAAUUUAUUUUUGCUGUUCACCAAAUUGUAUUUUUCACAAAUGACAACACUAGUGCUAAAAGGACCUAGGUGUGAGCGUGCUGACAACGUGGCUGAAGAAAUUAGACCAAUGUACAUAUCACAUUCGAGUUCCACUAGACGUUUAAAACCCUGUCCCUUACUGAAGGAAAUGUGUCAGUUUCAAUAUUGUAUUAUUUUAACCAAUCAUGUGAUCAAAGCAACUCUUUAUUGUAUUUAAUUUACAGAGCUAAGUGGUUCUUUUCCACUAUUGUAAUGAGUGUCUCACUGUAUAUUUCUCAAUGUUUAUUAAAUUAAAUAAUUAAGCAAUCCCGCUUUGGAAAGAAAAUAGCAAGACAUUGAUGUACAAUCGUUCAAUAAUGGUGCAAAGCUGUGUUUGCUGACCUAAAUAUAAAAUGUCAUACUUUUAAAUAAAACAUAUUGUGUUACAACUCUUGAUAUUUUAUAUAGCCUACUGUAUUAUUAAAGAAAAAUAGAUAGUAUCUCUAAACAUUACAUAAUAUAAUUUAAAUUGAUAAAGUUAGCUGUGAUUUACAAUGGAUUCCAUUAGACACAGUCCAGUGUAAUGAGAAGCAGCUUGUGAUGUAAUCCUGUACACUACUGCCACCUGGGUCUAGUCUAGUGGAUUUGCAGGAUACCAGCUAUGCACUCUCUUACAAUACCAAAAUCAGAAUAGUGACUGUUGAAUUGAUUAGAACACUGAAGUGUUGUAUAUAUUAUGUUUACUAGACCUUGGAGGUGGUAUUUGAGACAUUAAUGGGAUGACAUGAAGUGCCACCAAGGUUUUUUAUGCACACUGUCUGAAAGUGAUAUGAAUAAUAAACAUAAUAAAGAUAUGUGCACAUACCCUACUAUUUAAUUAUGCUGAUCUGUUAAACGAUUCAAACAGAUUUAAUUUCAUCUGCACGGAAAUAGCAGACUGCAGUUUGAUCAUAUGCCCCAUGAUUUUAUUAAUAUGAUACCAGACAGAUUUUGAUCAAAUUUUAAUUAUGACAAUUUAGAAUAAAGCCAGAUGUGACAGGUCUGUGCUAGUUUAGCAGGCACAUACAGUAUAA